rnacentral:lncRNA from 13 species
UUUGAAAUAAAUAAUGACUUUUAAAAAUUCAAUAUACAGCACAUAGAUUAAAAAUCUGUACAAAAUUUGAGAUUGAAAUUUAUGCAACAAAAUAAUGAAAAGGAUUGUAUGAACAAAGAUAUUGAACAUUGUUUUGUUGCACAAAUAAUAGCCAUUUAAAAAUAAGAAAUUGCAUAAUUCUUUUAAUACAAACACAAUAUCAGCUUUAAAUCUAAAAGGAAAAAUAUGAGAGGAAAAAUUAUAUUAAGAAAGAUGUCAGAUAUUAUUUGUGGAAAAAUUGGAAACAUCGCAGCUUCACUUAAAUGAUAAGAUCUUUACGGCUAAAUCGUGAUGAAUAAUGUUCAUGUCAUCGUUAUUACCGUGACAAAUUUCGUUAUGCACUCUUUCACAAAAUCUGAUGGUAUAUUCAUAAAUCUUAUGUUAAGUGACUUUGCGUAUUCUUAAACAAUUAUGAAAAAUAAAGAGUACUAGCUGCUUGCGAGAUUUAUUUGAUAGAUAUAAAGGCGUAAUAUUUUGCUACCGCAAAGGAUGAUAAAAUUAUACAAACGUAAGUAUUAAUUAUCUUAUGUCUGCAUCAUUGUCACGAUGUGAUACAAUUUAUAGCUGCAUCUCAAUAUAUAAUUAUACGUUUCUUGAAAGGGUUACUCGACUUGUAUUGGUGCGAAGAGCCAAUUUUGAUCGCUUUGGGUCAAAUUUACCAGACUGCAGCAUUUACUUCACCGAUUGUUCGGGAACUCGCAGGACAGCGGUUACUUCAUCACGAUUGAGUAUUCUUCGAUGAUUCUACGAAAGACAGUACGCUCGGCUGCUCUUGUGAUGACAGCGUUGUUCAGUAAUUCAAUAGUAUGUUCCAAUCUGCUGCGUCUAACAGUCUUCUCAGAUCGCAACGAGUUCAAGAAUAAAACUGAAUAAAUUCUAUGCGUGUUCGGUAACAAAUCUGGAACUCUGUGUUUCCAAAUGAUGAUAAAAUUACUGGAAUAUCACACGAUACGAGUGCGUGCCUCAAAUUUUUAUUUACUGCUAACGAUAAAGUUUUUACGAUAAAUAUUCUCAACAUAUUUUUGCAUUUCUAGAUUUUUUUUAUAGAUUUAUGUAGCGGCUAGGGCUAAAUGUCGAGAUGAUUGAGGUACUUAAUUAACAUUUUUCAUGAGUAUUUAAUAUCCGAAGAGUGCUCGUAAUAAUCGACGAAAAGCAAGACAGCGUGUUGAUCUAUAAUAAUUUAGUUGUUAGCAAAAUGAAGUGAUAGGACUAUACCAUUAUUAUAUGUGUUCUCUGACAUCCAUUCUCUGAUAAUCCAUUCUCAAGUUAGACAAGAAAAGAUUUUCCUAUUUACUUGACCAGGCAAAAUUUAUAUUGCGAUGCACGUCAGUUAAAGUUAAAAUAACAGAGGAAGACAUCGUCGAAGUAUUCGACAAUAAAUCUUAGCAUGUCAACGGCGCGUUUGCCUGUGUAAAACAAUUUACUAUGUUAAGUAAUGCGAUGUAUACCCGUAAAUGGAUAUACUUAGUCGCUGUAACAUCGUGAGACAACCGCUGUUAUAUUUAUAAACGCGAACGGAUUGAUAACGUGUCGCAGCCGAAUAAGUAAAUGGAGAUAUACAACAGCAAUUUCAUGAUAAUUCACCGUUCCUAUUGUUAUUGCAUUAUAAGCGUUUAUCUUCAUUCUGAAUAAAGUGUUGCAAGUGUA